rnacentral:rRNA from 1 species
GACGAACGCUGGCGGCGUGCCUAAUACAUGCAAGUCGAGCGGAUUAGAUUGAAAGCUUGCUUUCAAUCUGGUUAGCGGCGGACGGGUGAGUAACACGUAGGUAACCUGCCCGACAGACCGGGAUAACAUUCGGAAACGAAUGCUAAUACCGGAUACGCGAUUUCCUCGCAUGGGGAGAUCGGGAAAGACGGAGCAAUCGGUCAAUGUUGGAAGGACCUGCGGCGCAUUAGCUAGUUGGUGAGGUAACGGCUCACCAAGGCGACGAUGCGUAGCCGACCUGAGAGGGUGAUCGGCCACACUGGGACUGAGACACGGCCCAGACUCCUACGGGAGGCAGCAGUAGGGAAUCUUCCGCAGUGGGCGAAAGCCUGACGGAGCAACGCCGCGUGAGUGAUGAAGGUUUUCGGAUCGUAAAGCUCUGUUGCCAGGGAAGAACGCUGUGGAGAGUAACUGCUCUACAGGUGACGGUACCCGAGAAGAAAGCCCCGGCUAACUACGUGCCAGCAGCCGCGGUAAGAC